GACGAACGCUGGCGGCGUGCUUAACACAUGCAAGUCGAACGGAAAGGCCCUGCUUUUGUGGGGUGCUCGAUUGGCGAACGGGUGAGUAACACGUGAGUAACCUGCCCUUGACUUUGGGAUAACUUCAGGAAACUGGGGCUAAUACCGGAUAGGAGCUCCUGCUGCAUGGUGGGGGUUGGAAAGUUUCGGCGGUUGGGGCUGGACUCGCGGCUUAUCAGCUUGUUGGUGGGGUAGUGGCUUACAAAGGCUUUGACGGGUAGCCGGCCUGAGAGGGUGACCGGCCACAUUGGGACUGAGAUACGGCCCAGACUCCUACGGGAGGCAGCAGUGGGGAAUAUUGCACAAUGGGCGGAAGCCUGAUGCAGCAACGCCGCGUGCGGGAUGACGGCCUUCGGGUUGUAAACCGCUUUCGCCUGUGACGAAGCGUGAGUGACGGUAAUGGGUAAAGAAGCACCGGCUAACUACGUG
rnacentral:rRNA from 1 species